CCUACGGGCGGCAGCAGUAGGGAAUAUUGCUCAAUGGGGGAAACCCUGAAGCAGCAACGCCGCGUGGAGGAUGAAGGCUUUCGGAUUGUAAACCCCUUUUGUUAGAGAAGAUAAUGACGGUAUCUAACGAAUAAGCACCGGCCAACUCCGUGCCAGCAGCCGCGGUAAUACGGAGGGUGCAAGCGUUAUUCGGAAUCACUGGGCGUAAAGGGCACGUAGGCGGGUUAGCAAGUCAGAUGUGAAAUCCUAAGGCUUAACCGUAGAACUGCAUUUGAAACUGUUAUUCUAGAGUAUGGGAGAGGUAGGUGGAAUUCGUGGUGUAGGGGUAAAAUCCGUAGAGAUCAAGAAGAAUACUCAUUGCGAAGGCGACCUACUGGAACAUAACUGACGCUGAUGCGCGAAAGCGUGGGGAGCGAACAGGAUUAGAUACCCGAGUAGUC
rnacentral:rRNA from 1 species